AGUGAACGCUGGCGGUAGGCCUAACACAUGCAAGUCGAACGGCAGCACAGUAAGAGCUUGCUCUUACGGGUGGCGAGUGGCGGACGGGUGAGGAAUACAUCGGAAUCUACUUUUUCGUGGGGGAUAACGUAGGGAAACUUACGCUAAUACCGCAUACGACCUACGGGUGAAAGCAGCGGAUCUUCGGACCUUGCGCGAUUGAAUUAGCCGAUGUCGGAUUAGCUAGUUGGCGGGGUAAAGGCCCACCAAGGCGACGAUCCGUAGCUGGUCUGAGAGGAUGAUCAGCCACACUGGAACUGAGACACGGUCCAGACUCCUACGGGAGGCAGCAGUGGGGAAUAUUGGACAAUGGGCGCAAGCCUGAUCCAGCCAUACCGCGUGGGUGAAGAAGGCCUUCGGGUUGUAAAGCCCUUUUGUUGGGAAAGAAAAGCAGCAGGUUAAUACCCCGCUGUUCUGACGGUACCCAAAGAAUAAGCACCGGCUAACUUCGUG
rnacentral:rRNA from 1 species